rnacentral:rRNA from 1 species
GGGCCGCGGUAUUUUGACCGUGCGAAGGUAGCAUAAUCAUUAGUCUUUUAAUUGGAGGCUUGUAUGAAUGGUUGGACAAAAAAUAAGCUGUCUCUGUUUUAUUUCUUGAAUUUAACUUUUAAGUGAAAAGGCUUAAAUGUUCUAGGGGGACGAUAAGACCCUAUAAAGCUUUACAGUGUGUUAAUUAAAUUAUAAAUUGUUAGUAUAAACUUGGUUUGGUUAGUAGCUGUUUCGUUGGGGCGACGAAAAUAUAAUUGAUAGUAACUGUUUUUCUUUUAUAAUAACAAUAAAUUUUUGGUAGAAAUUGAUCCUUUAUUAAAGAUUAAAAGAUUAAGUUACUUUAGGGAUAACAGCGUA